AUUGAACGCUGGCGGCAGGCCUAACACAUGCAAGUCGAGCGGAUGAAGGGAGCUUGCUCCUGGAUUCAGCGGCGGACGGGCGAGUAAUGCCUAGGAAUCUGCCUUGUAGUGGGGAUAACGUCCGGAAACGGGCGCUAAUACCGCAUACGUCCUGAGGGAGAAAGUGGGGGAUCUUCGGACCUCACGCUAUCAGAUGAGCCUAGGUCGGAUUAGCUAGUUGGUGGGGUAAAGGCCUACCAAGGCAACGAUCCGUAACUGGUCUGAGAGGAUGAUCAGUCACACUGGAACUGAGACACGGUCCAGACUCCUACGGGAGGCAGCAGUGGGGAAUAUUGGACAAUGGGCGAAAGCCUGAUCCAGCAAUGCCGCGUGUGUGAAGAAGGUCUUCGGAUUGUAAAGCACUUUAAGUUGGGAGGAAGGGAAGUAAGUUAAAACCUUGCUGUUUUGACGUUACCAACAGAAUAAGCACCGGCUAACUUCGUG
rnacentral:rRNA from 1 species